UUGGAGGGCAAGUCUGGUGCCAGCAGCCGCGGUAAUUCCAGCUCCAAUAGCGUAUAUUAAAGUUGUUGCAGUUAAAAAGCUCGUAGUUGAAUUUCGGGUUCAUCCGUUGGUCGGGCUUUUUUGGUCUGUACUGGCGUGAUGGAUUCCUACCUUCUGAAUAACCAGCAUGUCAUUAAUUUGGUGCGCUGGGGAAGCAGGACUGUUACCUUGAAAAAAUUAGAGUGCUUAAAGCAGGCUAUCGCCUGAAUACAUUAGCAUGGAAUAAUGAAAUAGGACGGCAUGGUUCUAUUUUGUUGGUUUCUAGGACCACCGUAAUGAUUAAUAGGGAUAGUUGGGGGCAUUAGUAUUCAAUUGUCAGAGGUGAAAUUCUUGGAUUUAUUGAAGACUAACUUCUGCGAAAGCAUUUGCCAAGGAUGUUUUCAUUAAUCAAGAACGAAAGUUAGGGGAUCGAAGACGAUCAGAUACCGUCGUAGUCUUAACCAUAAACUAUGCCGACUAGGGAUCGGACGAUGUUAAUUUUUUAAUGACUCGUUCGGCGCCUUACGGGAAAC
rnacentral:rRNA from 1 species